CCCUACGGGGCGCAGCAGGCGCGAAACCUCCGCAAUGUGAGCAAUCGCGACGGGGGGAUUCCAAGUGCCAUUCUUAACGGGAUGGCUUUUCAUUAGUGUAAAGAGCUUUUGGAAUAAGAGCUGGGCAAGACCGGUGCCAGCCGCCGCGGUAACACCGGCAGCUCUAGUGGUAGCAGUUUUUAUUGGGCCUAAAGCGUCCGUAGCCGGUUUAUUAAGUCUCUGGUGAAAUCUUGCAGCUUAACUGUGGGAAUUGCUGGAGAUACUAGUAGGCUGAGAUCGGAGAGGUAGAAGAAAGU
rnacentral:rRNA from 1 species